UAUUCAGGAUGAUGAUAAUCUUUUUGUGGAGAUCAAGGACAGAAGAUACUGCAGUGCAACUCUGUUAUGGAGGUUACAUUGUCAUGACUCAACUAAUCAAACAAAAAUACCUGUCAAACUUGCAGACUCUCUUCCAUGGAUACCAGAAGGAGCUCCUAUGUUCCUGUGGUUUUUGAAGACCUUGGGAAUGAGAAACACUGACUUUCAAUUAACUUGACACUCCCAGCAAAUUCAGGUAACUGUUUACAUACAGAGCAUUUUUGCAAGCGAAUUAUUCUGCACCAUACAGUGAAAAUGCUUGUACCUUUCCACCUGGGAGAAGAAUUGGAAUAUGUUCCUGUGUCCUCAGGAUAGAUUUGCUCUUCCAUCAGGACAACCACUGUGAAUGUCCUUACAGAUAUUAAGGUAAAUUUUGUUCAAUUUGCUCUACAGAUCAUCCUUUGGACCCAAAUCUCAACUAGUGUUAAUUGAUGUAGCUCUGAAUUUAAUUAAACUUUGGAAGCUCUCACUGCCUGAGAAUCUGUCCUGCAGAUUGCUUUUGGAAAAUGCUUAUACUCAGCUUGAUCUAUCCAUGAUUGAAAUUUAUGCUUUAGCUGAAGGUAAAUUAUGGCUAUUUGGUGAUUAAUACCUUGUUCUCAUGCCAAGCCAAGCUAAGAUGUGCUGACUUAAUUUAUCACUAACCAGAGGUUAUUAUCUUACUGUAAUUAUAAGAAA